rnacentral:rRNA from 1 species
GAUGAACGCUGGCGGCGUGCCUAACACAUGCAAGUCGAGCGAACAGACGAGGAGCUUGCUCCUCUGACGUUAGCGGCGGACGGGUGAGUAACACGUGGAUAACCUACCUAUAAGACUGGGAUAACUCUGGGAAACCGGUGCUAAUACCGGAUAACAUGUUGAACCGCAUGGUUCAACAGUGAAAGACGUUCUUUCUGUCACUUAUAGUUGUAUCCUAGCCGCAUUAGCUAGUUGGUAAGGUAACGGCUUACUAAGGCAACGAUGCGUAGCCGACCUGAGAGGAAGAUCGGCCACAGUGCAACUGAGACGCGGUGCCGCAUCGUACGGGAGGCAGCGGUAGGGAAUCUUCCGGCAUGAGCGGAAGCCUGACGGAGCAACGGCGCGUGAGUGAAGAAGAUCUUCGGAUCGUAAAACUCUGUUAUUAGGGAAGAACAAAUGUGUAAGUAACAAUGCACGUCUUGACGGUACCUAAACAAAAAGCCACGGCUAACUACGUG